rnacentral:rRNA from 1 species
UUGGAGGGCAGUCUGGUGCCAGCAGCCGCGGUAAUUCCAGCUCCAAUAGCGUAUAUUAAAGUUGCUGCAGUUAAAAAGCUCGUAGUUGAAUUUCGGGAUCAAUGUUUCGGUCAUGCCGUUGGUAUGUACUGAUAUUAUUGAUCUCUCACCUUCUAAAGAACCGUAAUGCCAUUAAUUUGGUGUCACGGGGAAUUAGGACUGUUACCUUGAAAAAAUUAGAGUGUUUAAAGCAGGCUCACGCUUGAAUACAUUAGCAUGGAAUAAUGAAAUAGGACAUCCGAUUCUAUUUUGUUGGUUUCUAGGAUCGAUGUAAUGAUUAAUAGGGAUAGUUGGGGGCAUUAGUAUUCAAUUGUCAGAGGUGAAAUUCUUGGAUUUAUUGAAGACUAACUACUGCGAAAGCAUUUGCCAAGGAUGUUUUCAUUAAUCAAGAACGAGAGUUAGGGGAUCGAAGACGAUCAGAUACCGUCGUAGUCUUAACCAUAAACUAUGCCGACUAGGGAUCGGAUGAUGUUAAUUUUUUAAUGACUCAUUCGGCGCCUUACGGGAAAC